GAUGAACGCUGGCGGCGUGCCUAAUACAUGCAAGUCGAACGCACAGCGAAAGGUGCUUGCACCUUUCAAGUGAGUGGCGAACGGGUGAGUAACACGUGGAUAACCUACCUCAAGGUUGGGGAUAACAUUUGGAAACAGAUGCUAAUACCGAAUAAAACUUAGUAUCGCAUGAUACCAGGUUAAAAGGCGCUACGGCGUCACCUAGAGAUGGAUCCGCGGUGCAUUAGUUAGUUGGUGGGUAAAGGCUUACCAAGACAAUGAUGCAUAGCCGAGUUGAGAGACUGAUCGGCCACAUUGGACUGAGACACGGCCCAAACUCCUACGGGAGGCUGCAGUAGGGAAUCUUCCACAAUGGGCGAAAGCCUGAUGGAGCAACGCCGCGUGUGUGAUGAAGGCUUUCGGGUCGUAAAGCACUGUGUAUGGGAAGAACAGCUAGAGUAGGGAAUGAC
rnacentral:rRNA from 1 species